UUGUGAUUGUUGACGGUCCGGAUCUGAUCUAUCUACUCGGCAAUUCAUCCGGUGACUUCACGGUCGCCAAAGAAGCCCAAGUUUAUGGCCAUCUUGCAUUUGGGAGCAACCCUUUUGUUCCAAUGGGUGUCUUUGGGUUUAUUGUUCCUGUUAUCACUCUUGGGUCCUUGUCCAAGAGAUGAAUGGUACCUGGUUGGAGGCUUGGUUGGUUUGUGACUCCUAGUGGCACUUUCAAAAAUCCCAAGGUAGUUGAGCGCAUUACAAAGUAUUUUGAUCUUUUGGGAGGUCCAGCCACGGACCAUCAUUCAGGUGAAACUAAACCUAUUGCGUCUAGAAGAUUUUAGCGAUGAUAUUGAUUUUUGUUUCAAACUUGCAAAGGAGGAAUCUAUUGUCAUUCUUCCAGGAACAACGGUUGGACUAAAAGAUUUGCUUUGCAUUACUUUAGCUGCCGAUGCAUCUGCCCUUACAAAAGGUUUGAAAAGGGUCAAAGUUUUUUGACAAAGACAUGCCAGAAAAUGGCUGAAGCAAUGUUGAAUCCAGAAUAUAAAAUGGCUACUAAAUAUGUGAUGGCUACUAAAUUUUCAGGUGUUUCAAAAACAUUGGGG